GGCCAGGAAGUGAAAGAGAUAAGAAAGACAGUGACAAGGAGAUCAAAAGAUCAGGAAGUGACAGAGAUAGGAAACAUCGCAAGCGGCAUAGACAUUCCUCUGAUGACGAUGACAGCGAGAAAGAUCAUUCAAGAAGUUCUUACAGACGUGGAAGUGAUUAUAAGAAAGUGAAACAGAUGGACCUACACAGACGGAGUUUGGAAGCUGAUUCAGAGGGCAAGCGCAAAAAAAGAAAACGAGAUCAUCGGAGUGAUUCUCAUAGGGAAAGUGACGAUGAAGAUCACAAAGACUGGGAAUCCGGCGAUGAUGUAGAAGUUUAGUAGCUUUUUGUCUUCUUUUUCAAAAUGAUUUCUCAAAUGCGCUUUUCAUUGUGUACAUAUUAUAAUGUAUCAUGGUUUACUAUCACCUUCCCCCAAC
rnacentral:misc_RNA from 1 species